rnacentral:tRNA from 1 species
CAGAAGUCGCUCACUUGGAAGAUCAGCUUUGGGUCUGAGGUGGGGAGUACCUCCCUACUUCCUG